rnacentral:lncRNA from 1 species
AAAAAAAUACUAUUAUCAUUUAUCUCCAAACAAGAUUCGACACAAAAAUAUUUGCUGUCAAAAAUAAUCAUUUGAGAUCAAUACCGAUCGUUGUUGAGCUCUUAACUCGAUCUGUUGGUUAGUAAUCCAGCAAAAAAAAAAUACUAUAGUACUACUAUAUUGGAUUAAGUUUCGGAUAUACAAAUUAAGUAACUCUUCGUCCAUUCAUAUAUAUAGUCUUAUAUUACUAUUAUACAUGUAACUACAUAUAUAUUUAGAAUCCAAAGUGAAAUUGUAGACAUCUUGACAAAAAAAAAAAAUUUGUAAAAAAAAAAAAGAAUUUGUAAACCUAUAACAUGUUAUGAUUUGUUAUUAUUAUACAUAAAUUCAUAACUAGUUUGCUGUCGUCUUGACUGAUUUAAAUAGGACUAACUAAUAUUCCUAAUUUU